rnacentral:lncRNA from 1 species
UUUGGUGGGGUUCGUGUUGUUUAUUCUUUAGUUUUCUAUGUUGUGUCAUGUGUACUAUUGUUUUUCUGUUUGUCUUUUUUUCAUUUUUAGCCAUGGCGUUGUCAGUUUGUUUUAGAUUUAUGAGUUUGACUGUCCCUUUGGUAUCUUUCGUCCCUCUUUUAGCAGCUAAAAGCUUUUUGAAACACAAAAGGCUUGUCUUUCAAACAUUUUUCAUUUUUAAAAUUAUCAGCACGGUAAGAAUACUAGCAUUCAAGUUGGA